rnacentral:rRNA from 1 species
AGGACGAACGCUGGCGGCGUGCUUAAAACAUGCAAGUCGAACGGAGACCAUGGAGUCGCAAGACUCCGGAAGUCUGAGUGGCGAACGGGUGCGUAACACGUGAGGAACCUGCCCCAGAGACCGGGAUAACCCCUCGAAAGAGGAGCUAAUACCGGAUGUGCUCAUCGGAUCACCUGGUCUGGUGAGGAAAUGGAUUCCGCUCUGGGAUGGCCUCGCGGCCUAUCAGCUUGUUGGUGGGGUAACGCCUACCAAGGCGACGACGGUAGCUGGUCUGAGAGGACGAUCAGCCACACUGGGACUGAGACACGGCCCAGACUCCGUACGGGACGCAGCAGUUAGGAAUUCUAGCGACAAGUGGGACGUAAACGCCUAGGACGCAGCCGAACGCCGGCGGUGGGGGAUGAAUGCGUCGUCGGUUACGUAAACCCUUUCGA